rnacentral:rRNA from 1 species
AUUCCCGUUGAUCCUGCGGGAGAUUGCUGCUAUUGGAAUUCGAUUUAGACAUGCAAGUUAGCUUUCUUUUGAAGGCGGCGAAAGGCUCAGUAACACGUCGAUAAUCUACCUUAUGGUUUGGGAUAUACUUGGGAAACUGAGGGCAAUACCAAAUAUAGGAUAAUUACUGUAAUGUAUUUUCCUUUAAAGUUUAGGCGCCAUAAGAUGAGUCGGCGACUGAUUAGUUUGUUGGUGAGGUAAUGGCUCACCAAGGCUAAGAUCAGUAGGGGGAGUGAGAGCUCUAGCCUCGAGAAGGGCACUGAGAAACUGGCCCUAGUCCUAAGGGAUGCAGCAGUCGCGAAACCUUUACAAUGCACGUAAGUGUGAUAAGGGAAUUCCAAGUGUCUAUUCAAAAUAGACUUUUGCCAAGUGUAAGAAGCUUGGAGAAUAAGUGGUGGGCAAGACCGGUGCCAGCCGCCGCGGUAACACCGGCGCCACGAGUGGGGAUCAUAUUUAUUGGGUCUAAAGCGUCCGUAGCUGGUUCAAUAAGUCUUUUGUGAAAUUGUUUUGCUUAACUUAACAAAUUGCAAAAGAAACUAUUAAACUAGGGACCGGGAGGAGAUAAGAGUAUUCCAAGGGGAACGGUAAAAUGUUAUAAUCCUUGGAGGACUACCAAUGGCGAAGGCACUUAUCCAGAACGGGUCCGACAGUGAGGGACGAAGGCUAGGAUAACGAUAAGGAUUAGAUACCCUAGUAGCCCUAGCAGUAAACGCUGUGAGUUAGGUGUUGAAUAAUCUUAGGGAUUAUACAGUGCCGUAGGGAAGCCGUUAAACUCACCACCUGGGAAGUACGAUCGCAAGAUUGAAACUUAAAGGAAUUGGCGGGGACGCACCACAAGGAGUGAGGUGUGCGGUUUAAUUGGAUUCUACGCCGUUAAUCUCACCAGGAGCGACGGCAGAAUGAAGGUCAGAUUGAAGGUUUUACCUAACAAGCCGAGAGAUAGUGCAUGGCCGCCGUCAGUUCGUGCUGUGAAGUGUCCUGUUAAGUCAGGUAACGAACAAGACCUAUAUUCACUUUUGCUACCAUUUCUUUUGAGAAGUGAGCACAAUGUGAAGACUGCUCGGGAAACUGAGAGGAAGGUGUAGGCAACGGUAGGUCAGUAUGCUUCGAAUCUCCUGGGCUACACGCGCGCAACAAUGGUAAGGACAAUUGGAUGCAACUCUGAGAAGAGAAGCCAACCCCAAAAACCUUAUCUUAGUUUAGAUUGAGCGUUGUAAUUCAUGCUCAUGACAAUGGAAUUCCUAGUAAUCGGUCUUCAAAAUGGACCGGUGAAUAUGUCCCUGUGUCUUGCACACACCGCCCGUCAUCCCAGCCAAGCAGGAUUUAGGUGAGGCUCAAUUUUUUGUUUGAAUCAAACCUAAGUUCAGCAAGGAGGGGCAAGUCGUCACAAGGUAGCCGUAGGGGAACCUGCGGCUGGAUCACCUCCU